UGGAUAUCUGCCUUUUGGUUCGGAAUAACCCCGGGAAACUGGGACUAAUACCGGAUGGUUCCUUCGGGAUAAAGAUUUAUCGCCAAAAGAUGAGUCCGCGUCCGAUUAGCUAGUUGGUGAGGUAAUGGCUCACCAAGGCGACGAUCGGUAGCUGGUCUGAGAGGAUGGCCAGCCACAUUGGGACUGAGACACGGCCCAGACUCCUACGGGAGGCAG
rnacentral:rRNA from 1 species